rnacentral:misc_RNA from 1 species
GAUGAAGAACGUAGCGAAAUGCGAUACUUGGUGUGAAUUGCAGAAUCCCGCGAAUCAUCGAGUUUUUGAACGCAAGUUGCGCCCGAAGCCAUUCGGCCGAGGGCACGUCUGCCUGGGUGUCACGCAUCGUUGCCCCCCCAAACUCCGGUUCGGGCGGGGCGGAAGUUGGCCUCCCGUGCGUGCCUGCGCGCGCGGUUAGCCCAAAAGCGAGUCCUCGGCGAUGAGCGCCACGACAAUCGGUGGUUUCUUUACCCUCGUUCCUCGUCGUGCGUGCCCCGUCGCCCGAACGCGCUCUUGCAACCCUUACGCGUCGCCUCGGUGGCGCUCCCAACGCGACCCCAGGUCAGGCGGGACUACCCGCUGAGUUUAAGCAUAUCAAUAAGCGGAGGA